CGAAGAACCUUACCAGGUCUUGACAUCCCUCUGACCGUCCUAGAGAUAGGACUUUCCUUCGGGACAGAGGUGACAGGUGGUGCAUGGUUGUCGUCAGCUCGUGUCGUGAGAUGUUGGGUUAAGUCCCGCAACGAGCGCAACCCCUAUUGUUAGUUGCCAUCAUUAAGUUGGGCACUCUAGCGAGACUGCCGGUAAUAAACCGGAGGAAGGUGGGGAUGACGUCAAAUCAUCAUGCCCCUUAUGACCUGGGCUACACACGUGCUACAAUGGUUGGUACAACGAGUCGCAAGCCGGUGACGGCAAGCUAAUCUCUUAAAGCCAAUCUCAGUUCGGAUUGUAGGCUACAACUCGCCUACAUGAAGUCAGAAUCGCUAGUAAUCGCGGAUCAGCACGCCGCGGUGAAUACGUUCCCGGGUCUUGUACAC
rnacentral:rRNA from 1 species